GGCAGCAUAGUGUAGUGGUCUGAGUGUUGGACUAUGACUCUGGAGGCCAGGGUUCAAUUCCCAUAUCAGCCA
rnacentral:tRNA from 1 species